UGGGGAAUAAUGGACAAUGGGCGAAAGCCUGAUCCAGCCAUGCCGCGUGUGUGAAGAAGGUCUUCGGAUUGUAAAGCACUUUAAGUUGGGAGGAAGGGCAUUAACCUAAUACGUUAGUGUUUUGACGUUACCGACAGAAUAAGCACCGGCUAACUCUGUGCCAGCAGCCGCGGUAAUACAGAGGGUGCAAGCGUUAAUCGGAAUUACUGGGCGUAAAGCGCGCGUAGGUGGUUUGUUAAGUUGGAUGUGAAAUCCCCGGGCUCAACCUGGGAACUGCAUUCAAAACUGACUGACUAGAGUAUGGUAGAGGGUGGUGGAAUUUCCUGUGUAGCGGUGAAAUGCGUAGAUAUAGGAAGGAACACCAGUGGCGAAGGCGACCACCUGGACUAAUACUGACACUGAGGUGCGAAAGCGUGGGGAGCAAACA
rnacentral:rRNA from 1 species